rnacentral:rRNA from 1 species
GAUGGCAGCAGUGGGGAAUUUUGGACAAUGGGCGCANGCCUGAUCCAGCAAUGCCGCGUGCAGGAUGAAGGCCUUCGGGUUGUAAACUGCUUUUGUACGGAACGAAAAGCUUCUGGUUAAUACCUGGGAGUCAUGACGGUACCGUAAGAAUAAGCACCGGCUAACUACGUGCCAGCAGCCGCGGUAAUACGUAGGGUGCGAGCGUUAAUCGGAAUUACUGGGCGUAAAGCGUGCGCAGGCGGUUAUGUAAGACAGAGGUGAAAUCCCCGGGCUCAACCUGGGAACUGCCUUUGUGACUGCAUGGCUAGAGUGCGGCAGAGGGGGAUGGAAUUCCGCGUGUAGCAGUGAAAUGCGUAGAUAUGCGGAGGAACACCGAUGGCGAAGGCAAUCCCCUGGGCCUGCACUGACGCUCAUGCACGAAAGCGUGGGGAGCAAACAGGAUUAGAUACCCUGGUAGUCCACGCCCUAAACGAUGUCAACUGGUUGUUGGGAAUUAACUUUCUCAGUAACGAAGCUAACGCGUGAAGUUGACCGCCUGGGGAGUACGGCCGCAAGGUUGAAACUCAAAUGAAAUUGACGG